CGGUAACGGAUGAAGCCCAGCUUGCUGGGUGGAUUAGUGGCGAACGGGUGAGUAACACGUGAGCAACCUGCCCCUGACUCUGGGAUAACAGCCGGAAACGGUUGCUAAUACCGGAUAUGCACCAUGGCCGCAUGGUCUGUGGUGGGAAAGAUUUUUCGGUUGGGGAUGGGCUCGCGGCCUAUCAGCUUGUUGGUGAGGUAGUGGCUCACCAAGGCGUCGACGGGUAGCCGGCCUGAGAGGGUGACCGGCCACACUGGGACUGAGACACGGCCCAGACUCCUACGGGAGGCAGCAGUGGGGAAUAUUGCACAAUGGGCGGAAGCCUGAUGCAGCAACGCCGCGUGAGGGAUGACGGCCUUCGGGUUGUAAACCUCUUUUAGCAGGGAAGAAGCGAAAGUGACGGUACCUGCAGAAAAAGCGCCGGCUAACUACGUGCCAGCAGCCGCGGUAAUACGUAGGGCGCAAGCGUUAUCCGGAAUUAUUGGGCGUAAAGAGCUCGUAGGCGGUUUGUCGCGUCUGCUGUGAAAACCCGAGGCUCAACCUCGGGCCUGCAGUGGGUACGGGCAGACUAGAGUGCGGUAGGGGAGAUUGGAAUUCCUGGUGUAGCGGUGGAAUGCGCAGAUAUCAGGAGGAACACCGAUGGCGAAGGCAGAUCUCUGGGCCGUUACUGACGCUGAGGAGCGAAAGGGUGGGGAGCAAACAGGCUUAGAUACCCUGGUAGUCCACCCCGUAAACGUUGGGAACUAGUUGUGGGGGCCUUUCCACGGUCUCCGUGACGCAGCUAACGCAUUAAGUUCCCCGCCUGGGGAGUACGGGCCGCAAGGGCUAAAAACUCAAAAGGAAUUUGACGGGGACCCGCAACAAAGCGGGCGGAGCAUGCGGAAUUUAAAUUUCGAAUUGCCAAA
rnacentral:rRNA from 1 species